rnacentral:rRNA from 1 species
AGUGAACGCUGGCGGUAGGCCUAACACAUGCAAGUCGAACGGCAGCACCGUAAGAGCUUGCUCUUCCGGGUGGCGAGUCGCGGACGGGUGAGGAGUACAUCGGACUCUACUUUUUCGUGGGGGAUCACGUAGGGAAACUUACGCUAAUACAGCAUACGCCCUACGGGUGAAAGCAGGGGAUCUUCGCACCUUGCGCGAUUGAAUGCGCCGAUGUCGGAGUAGCUAGUUGGCGGGGUAAAGGCCCACCCAGGCGACGAUCCGUAGCUGGACGGUGUGGCUGAUCGGCCACACUGGAACGGGGACAGGGUCCAGGCGCCUACGGGAGGCAGCAGUGGGGAAUAUUGGGCAAUGGGCGCGAGCCUGAUCCAGCCAUACCGCGUGUGUGAAGAAGGCCUUCGGGUUGUGAAGCCCUUUUGUUGGGAAAGAAAAGCAGCAGCUUGAUACGACGCUGUUCUGACGGUACCCGAAGAAUAAGCACCGGCUAACUUCGUG